UUUUCUUUCCCUGAUAUUUUCAGUCAUUACACUCCAAUCUUGGAAACUCAGCCAUCUUAGGGAUUUUUGUAUUGUUCUUGGCUUUACUCUUAUUCAUGAACAAGUCGUCAUCAGUUAAAAACUCAAGUGGUAUUUAUCUUCUUUGUCAUUCUCUGUUUUAGCAAAACCCAAAAUAAACGCUAUUGGAGAACUUAGAUCCGAAAAGAACACAGAAGCCAUCUUUGAGAUUCUUUGCUGAAGAAGGGAUCCAGUGGACAAUUAACUUACCAAUGGCCUUGGAUUAGCGUGGUUUGUGAUAUGUUGGUGUGUAUUGAUGGCAUGAUAUUUUAUUUUGGCUGGUAUGUUGUAACCUGAUGUGGUUAUGUCUCGAGAUACUGUCAAUAUUCUGAUUUAUGCAGUGCAUUGAGGAUGGCAGGGUGUGAAGGCGAAUCUGAUUCUAUUUCAUGCUAAAGGAAUGGAGGAUGGUCUUUCUACUUAUUGUGUUUCUCUUGAAGAUUCUGUAUUUUUGACUCUUUUGCUGUACAGGGAUAUUAUGUCUGGGAUGAUUUUUGGGUGGGGUUUAAGCUUAUGACUGAAUAUGUCGGGCGUCUAGCAGAGUCUUUGUUUUCAUCCCAAGAGUAACCAAAUUUUUUGAUUUUGAUAUUCUACACGCAAAUUCAAGUAUUGAAAUUCAAGCUUAUGAUUA
rnacentral:lncRNA from 1 species